CUCGGCUCUCCUUGGUCUUCAGCCGGCGGAGUGGCUCCUUCUGCGGCCUCUUCGCUGAGAACUGAUUCCCAGAGGUCGCCAUUGACCGGGAAAAGUGGAAAACAGUCCGAUGCAGAUCGGACGUGAAGCAGGGAGAGUAAAUAUUCUCCGCCUUCAGCAGUACGCCUCCACCUGCUGCUCCGGUGGAUGCUCCACCUCCUCAAACACAUACGGCGCUCCGGUGGAAGGCUUGUGGCCGUUUACCAGCGGUUCUGGCAGAACCUCAAGGUCAGCCGGAGCUGCGGUCAGGCCAUGUGGAUGUUUUUGAGCCUGAUGGAGCUCCAUAUUGUGCUGUUACCUGAGAGGGCGGUGCACAUGGCGGCGAAGGCACUGAGUUUCAGCUUGUUCAUGACGCUGAAGCAGCGGCUCUGCUCCAGAAUCAUCAGAACCCCGCCCACGAAGAGCAGAGCCAGGUACAGGCUCUCUGCAACCACACACAGCCACAGCACGCCUGGACAGGGCAGAGGUCAGAGGUCAGCACCCACACACAGCCAGCCACAGCACGCCUGGACAGGGCAGAGGUCAGAGGUCAGCACCCACACACAGCCAGCCACAGCACGCCUGGACAGGGCAGAGGUCAGAGGUCAGCACCCACACACAGCCAGCCACAGCACGCCUGGAUCAAUUUACACUCCAAUAAUCAGCAUCAGGACAAAAACUGAUUAUUAUAAAACUGAAGGAAAUAAUUAACGGAGCUUCAAGUUAUUUAAAUAAUUCAGUUAAAAAAUCAAAUGUUGCUCUAAUAAUUCCUGACUCUUUGCAUGAGGAAGGCAUCGACAGGGCAUUGCUGGUUGGUCUCUGUGCUGCACAAGCAUAUUAACAGAAUGUUGAGUGGAAGGAAGAAGUGUCUGGAACCACAUGAACAGACAGCAGGGAGCAUUGUGGGUAGGCAUGUCAGCUUUCCACGCUGUUUUCCAAGAAAACAGGCAAAUUUUCUGUGAAUAAUUUUAAGUUACGUUUCAUUAUUUAGUUGUUUUAUCCAAACAUAAAAUUUGCUGCUUUUAUGGAAAUGUCUCAUCACAUCACAGGUGUCCAAACUUUAUUCAUGUAAAGUCCUAAAGCUGAAAGUCGUCAUGCGACACAUGAAGCUUCUUUUUCUAACACUAUAAUUUCAUAGUGAAAUCAUUUAUUUUCUUAUCAUUUCAACAAUAAACUUGAGUUUUUAAUGACAAACAAAUGAUUGAUUUUUGUAGCGAUGGGAUCUGGAAAUAUGUAAAUUAUUGAAUAUUUGAUACCUGAAAACUGUUGAAAGGUUUUCACGCAGUGUUUGGGUCAAUAAGUUUUAUAUUUUGCUGGCCCAGAAAAGUUUUCUGUUUACAACAGAGAUAUGGGUUAUUUUUUAUUUGAAAACAAGUUUUAAGAAUAAAUUCACCAAAAGUUGCUUUUGGGUAAAAAAUAUUUACAAAUAAAAAAUGAAAUAAACAUUAAAAAAUCCAAUUUUGCAUUAAUUGCUGUGAAGGACCAGACAAUCAUUUGAAGAGCACCAGACGGCCCACAGGCCUCACUUUGAACCCCCUACACCAGCAAACAGCAGUCAGGGAUGCUGAACUUUAAAUAGGCCGUUUGGUCUCUGUCUGGGUUACAGGAAGUGUUGGGUAAGUUUUAUUCUUACAAAGAAAUUUCAUUUUUUCCUGACAAUAAACCCAAAUACAGGCAAAUUAUUAAAUGGUUUCAAAGAAAAAUAAACUUUUAAAUCAUAAAUUUACCAACCUCUUUGAUGUUCAGGAGCAAUCUCAGCAAAACUUCGACAAUCAAAUCCUGUCAAAUAAAAGAAUAAAAACAUAAAAAACUCAAACUUUCAGACACAGAUAAUGAAUAUAACACACGAUGUUUUAAAUAUUUAAACAUAUCAUGUUUUAAUACUAUGUUUAUACUCAGUUUAAUACUAAAUUGUGUCUAAAAUUUCUUUUAAAAAAUGAUAUAAGUUUUUCAUAAAUGUAAUUCUAGGAAAAUCUGUACAGAAGCAACUUUUACAUAUUUUUCAUAAAUUGGUUUUCAAAGCUCUUCUCUAAUCAGGUGCUUUAUGAAAAAUGAAUGAUUGUGGACGAAGGAAAUAAUCUGAUUCUUCAGAUUAUUUCCUUCCCAAAACUGGAAAUAAAAGAAGAAAAGCAGAAACUAAAGUUGACUGAAUGUCGUUUCUGUUUGGCUGCAUGGAAAAGUGAAAAAUCCUGAAGCAGCUCUGAGGUCCUGGACAGAUUCUGAAGUAACUGAUGACAGAAAUAGUUCUGCUGCUGCCGCCGGUCAGGCUAAACGUCCAACUGUUUGUCUGCAGGUGAACCAGAGGUGAAAGGUCAAACUCACACCGAGGUUUAAUUUAAAAUCUCAUUUCCAGUACUUAUCCUCUUCUCUGACGUCGAUUAGCAAAUCUGAACAAACUUUUCUUUUUUUAUGUUUUCACUUGUCUGAUAAAUCAUUACUUCCUACUAUGCAUAUUUUGUAUAUUUAAUAUUUUUUAUAUAUUUUGUGUUUGGCAUUUUUACCCUAAAGAAGCUCGAACCAACCAGAAACAACUGAUGGUGUUUAGUUAGUUCAAAACUCAAUUUCAUCAUCAACAAUAUUAAAUUCCUUCUUGCUCAAAUAUAUUUCCGUUUUCCUUUAAUACGUUCUAGUAUAUUAAUUAAUUCAUUUACUAUAAAAACAUUUUCUGUGUCUUUUUAUCGGUGUGAAUGGUUUCCUGGAGAAAAUCUGAUUCAGCAGAAAUUUGACUUUAUUUACAGCUUGAAGAGAUUUGGCUUUAAGUGGAGAAAUAAAACUUCGUGGUUUUUCUACCUGCUGUUGUUUUUAAUCCUUCGUUCAUUUUAUGAUCUGUCCUUCCUUCAGUGCCAAAUCAACUACAAGUAAAGUAAAGCAAAUAUAAUAAAUCAAGUAUUGGCUUUAAAUAAUUUGCUGCAGCUGUUUCAUAAAGCAGCUGUAGAACAAACAGCUAAAGUCAGUUUUCUAAAUAUUCCCACAUUUGUGAGACGUAGACAGAAAAAAAAGAUACAAAUCUUUGUCUGUAACUGGUUCAAAUAAAAUGAUUCAGCUGCAGUUUUGAUUUUUAAGUUGCAUUUUAAUACAGAUGGAAACAAGAUGCUGUUAAAUCCAAUCUGGUUAUAAAACAGUCAAAUCAGAUCCACAGAGAACCAAUCAGUUCCCAAACCAGUUCUAUAAAUCAAUGCAGUCAAAUUUAGUUUAUGAUCAUCAAUAAAAAUAGUUUCUGAUCUAAGAAAACAUUUGAUUUUGCAACAAUUGACUGACUUAGCAGCAAACUUUGCAGCAAUCCCUCCGCUGAACAUGAGGCCUUUAUGAACAUCAAGUCAUUAAAACCGCAGCAAUCUCCCAAAGCUCACGUGUGGUGACAUUUUAGCAGCUGACCUCACUGAACCAUCAGUGUGUUUGCAGCAAUGCCUUCUCUUAUACCAGCAUGUUGCAGUAGAAAGCAACUGAUUGUAUUGGUUAGCUAACUUUGCAGCAAUGCUCUCUUGCAGCAACAGACAGCAGUCGAUUCCAUCAGUUCAUGAACUUUGAAGCAAUCCUUUCUGGCCAUUUCAUUUUUCUCCGUUGCUUUCUUUUGUAUUUUUGUUCAUUGAGUUUGGAAUAUUGCUCAUUCUUUAGCAGUCAGUGGUUUGAUUAGUACUUUAUGACCCAAACAGGAGCAGAGCUGAAGGUUGCUUACAGCCCAGCAGGGAUGUUUGUAACGGCAGCUAACGCAGCGAGCAGCUAUGAAACGGGUCAAAGGGCAGCUGGAGCUGAGAAAGGAAGCAAAGUAAUCCAUAACAUAUUCCAGGAUUUCUUUACCAGAGUGACAGUGAUUAAUGAAUAACUUACAGUGCUUCAGCACCGACGUAUGUUAUGGAUUAUUAUGCUGCAGCCUGCAGCAUCAUCUUACCCCUGCAGCAUCAUCUUACCGUUCAUAUCCGCAGCCUGCAGCAUCAUCUUACCGUUCAUAUCCGCAGCCUGCAGCAUCAUCUUACCGUUCAUAUCCGCAGCCUGCAGCAUCAUCUUACCGUUCAUAUCC